AGGGAAGGCUGGUGGGUUUCCUCACUGGGAGCAAGGCAUCCUCUGCAGUCACAUAUUGGCAAUGACAGCUCAUUCUCACUAGGGUCUGUCCUGCUCACAUCACAAAAAUAACCAUAAAAGUCCCUAUUAUUUACUGAGGGCUUAUCAUGGGUGAGGUGCCGCACUGAGGGGCAGUCCCUCCAGGGGUAUUGUUUCCAUUUCACAAGGAGAAGUGUUGUUGAAGUUCAGAGAAGUUAGGUAACCUGCCUAAGGCCUCACAGCCCCACGAGUGGCAGAGCUGGGAUUCUACCCCAGGCACUUAGCUCUGAAGCCCGAGCUCCUGACCACUUUGCCUGUAUCCUUUCAUAAAUGUAAUCUUUAAGCUGCGGCUAUUCCCUGUUAAGCCCCUGUUUAAAGAUCUAUCAAAAUAGAUGCCUCCUCUGAGUCGCAGCCUUCUCUGAUUCUCCUUAUCAUCAUGAGAGCAGAUACCAAGAGGCAGAGAUGGCCAAAAGGUUUUAAGUUCCCUCUAUUCUCUUGUACAAUGCAGUGCCAAGUAAUACCCUGGGGUUACUCACACUGCUAUGGCCUCUAGUUGAAGAUAGGAGUGCUGUGGUUUUUUUCUUGGCAAGAAAUUGUGGACCAGGGGUGAUAUCCAAUCACAGUCCUCUGGCCUCAUUUGGGACACAGAGGGCAAGUAUUUUUUUAACCCUGUUAUUUUACAAAAAUAUUAAAAGGCAAGCAACUGGACAUGGUGGCUCAUGCUGUAAUCCCAUUGUUUAUGGGAGGCUGAGGUGGGAGGACCACUUGAGGCCAGGAAUUCGAGAUCAGCCUGGACAACACGGUGAGACCCCAUCUCUACAAAAAAAAAAAAAAUAGUCAAGUGUGGUAGUGCACACCUGUAGUCCCAGCUACUUGAGAGACAGGCAGGAGGAUUGCUUGAACCCAGGAGCUUAAAGCUGCAGUGAGUUAUGAUCGUCCCACUGCACUCCAGCCUGCGUGACAGAGCAAGAUUCCGUUAGACUGGGUAACAGAGUGAGACCCUGUCUCAAAAAUAACAGCAAGUAAGCAAUCAUGAUUUUUUGACUUUUCAAGGAAUUUGCAAACAACAUGUAUUCCCUUUGCCCAUCUAGCUUUUGGGAAAGGACACCCAAAUUCCAACAGUCACCUACCUAGAAAAAUACAUAACCACAGCCAUGGUCCAUUCCAUUGCGACUUGGUGAUGUCAGAAGGUCUCAGGCUCAGGAGGGGCAUCCCCCAGGGUCUCUCAGCAAAUAUCCCGAUUCCUUAAACUGGGACAGUGUUUUCUGUCUGCAGAGUGUGCUCCCACCUUGGAAUGGGCUUGUCUGGCCUGACCCUGAAUAUGCCCAGCAGGGACUGCAUCCCUCAGUUCAUAGAUACAGAGGUUGAAGGUCAGGGAGGUGAAGACAGAAGGGGCAGCCAGUCAGAGCCAGCAGCUGCAGCAGGACCCAGAUUUCUUGUUUCUGAGUCCAGGAUUCUUUCCACUCCACCAGCUCUCUUGUAUGGACAGCUCAGGGGUCAGAGAAAGCACCUUUAUUGCUGAAUUUCCUUCUUCUCUCCUGUAGCCUUAUGACCAGUGUUCGGAAGAUUUAUCUCUUUCUAGCUUGGGACUUGCACCCAGCAAGUUUCCAUGCAAGGCAGCUGCCUUUAAGAAGAACAGAAGAGUCCCAGUUGGGCUUAUGGGGAAUGAAAUCAGUCCCAAGCCCCGAUCUCUCUGAAAAGUUGUUAUUAAAUUCUGUGCCUGGCCCUGACCUGGAUUUAAAGAUUUGCAAGAAGACAAAUUCCAAACAGAUGCCCAUUAGGGCCCUGACAGCCGCAGCUUAAAGAUAACAUUUACAUUCUGCCGGGGUUUGUAUCUCUCUGUUCCCCACUCGGCCCCUCUCUUUCCUCCGGUGGGAUCAAUACCUCGGUUGAGGUUACGUGGAGGUGGCCACAUUCUUUUAAGCUGUUUGCUCAGUGCUUGGUUUGCUCUGCUAACACGCUGGGCACUUCUUCCAACAGCCCUGUUUGCCCAGCAUUAGGGCUGUUUGUUGAAACACCUAGCCCAAUCCGAGGGGGCUCAGCUUUCUAAACAGUUGGUCCCCGAAUCUGUCAAUCAAUAACACCAAUUGGGUUCCUGAUACGAACAGCAAGUGUGGCCAAGUCCAAUAUUUGCCCAAACACUGCCUCCUCCCCCUGCACCUGACUGUCCCCCAGCUUGACUAAAAGGACGAUCACCAGGCGCAUGGGCUGCUGGGAAGAUACAAUGUUGGCAAACAGGGAGCUGGUUCCAGGAAAGAAGGGCACAUGAGCAAACAUGAUGGCCCCUUUAUGAGAGGUAAUUUACUGAAAUGCACAGCGAUUACCUGCUCAUCCAGCCCUGAUGUAAUUAAAAAUGGCAGGCUAGGGGCUCUGUUUCCCCCGGCUCUGGCAGAGAAACCUGGGUUUCGACUUGUGAAGCUUGAGGUUGGAUGUGGGAAUUGGCUUGGAGUCGUAGGCGAUGAGAGGGACAUUAGGAUUAUCAAGCCCGUGAGCUCAACUCCUGAGAAGGACACAGCAGAGCGAGAGAAAAGGGUAUUUAUUACUAAAAGUGUUUUAAAACUGGACCACUGAGUAAAGUCACUCCAUCUCCUACUGUUCCUAGCACAGUGCUUGAUAAAUAUUUGCUGGCUCAUUCAGCUGCAGCUGCAGAGACCUACCUGUGUUUGCUGUGGCGACUGUCUGGGCCAAAGCUCAGGCAGCUGGAAGUAUCAGUGAAGCCAGAAGAUUCUAGCUGUCCAGGGUCUGUGAGGAGGAGUCAAGGUCUGGGGUUUGUGUCCUCUGCAUAGCAAUGGCACUGCAAUGGGGGAGCCUGGUGCUGGGCUGGGCCGUCUCGUCACUGUCACCUGCCCGUUGAGGGGUGACAGUGGUUCUUGAGAGGCUGGAUCAGACCCCAGAGGUGACAUGGAUGUGACAUAUUUGUUGGACUUACACAGCCUUGCAUUUUAUUUUCAUCUCUGUUCCUUCCUCCCAUGAGAUCUUGGGUGGUGUUUAUCAACCCUGAGUAAUCGUUUCUUCAUCUGCAAGAUGGAAUAAAAAGGCCUACCUCAUUGGGCUCGUGUGGGUGAGGAGAACUGAAGAGUCUGAGAGCGCGGCACGAGCCAGAGGCUACGGAAAACACUGCCCUCCUACACUCCACCUUGGAGAGACCCAGAAAAGAACAAGCUUCAUUUGUAAAAAAGGAAAACAGCUCAUGGGGGUGGCUUAAAGGCACUCUACAGUGUGCAGAUGCCUUCUACUUCUUCCAUCUGCCCUGUCUUUCCAAGAACCCCUAUGGCCCCAGGCUCAGAACAGAGCUGAGUGCAGAAAUGAAAAUCUAUGGCUCUGUGUUCCAAAAUGAUGAAGAAUUUCAAGAUGGUGGCAGUGGUAAAAUCCUUCUCCAGGAAAAAUCUGUCCUUGGCCCAAUGUGUAAACACUUGCUGAGGAACUUGGAAUAACUUGCAGUGUCUUGCAGUAUUGUGAAACCAGCAACUUGUUCACAAUUCUUCUGAAUUUCUUGGGAAAUUUGAAGUGGAGUACCUGUACCAACAUGAAAUGACACGAAUUUAAGUGAAGCUCAACAACGAAAAGCAAAAAGAACCAAAGAGGAAGCAACUGAAACAACAUCUGGAUGUAUUUAAAAAUAUACAAUGCCUCCAAAAUCAGGUGUCAUUAAUGAAAAUUCUGAAGAAAUGCCACCGGACAUAGCCAACACACCUACGCUAUUGUUAUUCAUUUCCUGCUUUUCACAGAAAACAAUUUUGUUGCAUGGAAGAUUGUGAACUUCAAAGAGCAGAGGGGAAACUCUCCCUUGGCCCCUACCCCUCCAAGGCCCCACUUUUUCGUCAACACUCCUUGGACGCAGCAGAAGUAUGAACAUAAUAUGGUCCUGAAUGAGGCUGAGUCUUUGGGCGCAGAAGACCCGGGUUAAUAAAAAUAGGAAGCCCUGGCUGUACCACUGAGGACUGAAUUUUAACAGGAAGCAGAAAACUGGGAUUCUUAGGUCGCAGGUCACUGGAUCAAGAGGCACCACAUCUACGUGUGAAGCAGGGAUUACUGCCCCUCACUGCUGAUAUGGGAUGCCAACAUACCACCCUGAGACCCUGCACCUGAGGACUAUGCUGCCCCUGCUGCAUUCCCUGGGGAGGGAUGAGGUGGUGUGAAGACCAGAAAGGAGGCUGUUGCACUAGUUCAGGAAGAGAAGAGGAGGUGGGCGACAGAAGUAGAGGCAGCGCUCUGAGGGACCUCGGGCAGGUGGAAGCCACACAACUGCAUGGCCAUGAGGGCAAGGAGGCACCUGUUGAACUCAGGCAUCGGCAUGUGAAUUGAUUUGGUCAAUGAAAUGUGAGAGAAGUGACAUCCACUUUGAGACAGGCAGUUUCCGAAUGCCAUCAAGCUGAGAUGUGAAGCGGAAGUGAGGCAGAGGCUCCCUUCCUUUUGUUUGGCGCAGUUUUCUGUGAGAGAGCAGAGGUGGGAGAUGAGGGGACCUCUGCCCCAGUGUUUCUGCAUCCAAGCUCCAGCCUUGUUGAAGGUUCACUGGGGGAGCUCGAGGGAGCAGCUGCUGAGGCAGGCCAUGCACAGAAGGAGAUUUCAGCCUUAGAACCUAUUCAGAUGAGCACACCGCUCUGCUUGCAUGGGCUCUGAAGAUAUCCCAAUCUGGGUUUCCAGGAAGCUCUGGACACUACUAGAAACACAUCUGAAGUUUGGACGGAGGAAGCCAGCCUGCAAUAGCCUACAUAGCCAUGGACUAUGAGCUUGCCUGACCUGUUAUUACCUGAUGGAAGUGUAGCCCCUGGCUGCUAGGCCAAGAUGGAGUCUCUGCAAUUCCAAAUACAUCCUGCUCUACCUGGAUCACUGCCUUGAGCUGGGUGGAAAGGUCAGUAGAGAAAUGUAUCCACCUGGCUUUCUAAGGUAGACCCAGGUUGUUGAUGGCAUCCGUUCACCUGGCUGGAUGCAGGACCCUGGGGAGGUCAUGGCUGAGGCCAGUGCUGCAGGUUAGUCUUGUCUCGCUGCAUGGAUCCUGUUGGUAGUAACCUUAAUUAAAUGCUAUAGGAGACUAACUAAAUCGAUUUUGUCCCCCCUUCUGUUGGUCAAAUUAAUCAGAGUGGCCGAUAGAGUGAUGCAUUCAUGAGAGGAUUUGCCAGAAGCUAAGGCUAUAAAAACCAGGGCUAGAGUUGGUUUGAGACAAUUCUCCGUGGGUCUUUCAAGUUUCUGCAUGGUUUGUGAGCAGAGGUACUGACUGCCUUUGUUCCAGAUGAUCUUUCCAAGGAUGUUGUACUACAAGUAUGAGAGAUAGUAUCUCUCUCUGAAACCAAGAGCAGGCAGGCUUAGUGUUCCUUAGGAAAGAUUCACCUUCCCUCCACUUGGGGUUUCUCUCCUGUAGUGCAGGUGUGUGCAGGAGCCUUGUGGCCCUUCCUAUGCUGCUCUGUAAGAUUUGGAGCUUAGGGAGCCAAUGCAAAAAAGCACUGCUUCUGGAUCCUGCUACUUCUGUGAGUCAUGAAAUCUUUGAUCUCUGACCCAGGAGUCUUGUGUCUUCUGCUAGCCUCCAAGCAGGGUAAAGUCAUCUCAGACACCUCACAGUUCUUGAUCACCAUGUCUGGCCAGAACCAUGCUUGAGUGUGGCAUGUCUGUGAACAUCAUCCAUCGUGUAUGCAUCAUAGGAAGAUAAAAGUCAGCUGCUCUUGACAUCACCAGACCAUACUGGAUGAUAGGUGUGGGGGUCACCACCCACCACUUUCCACUGUCCAGUGCAGGCGAUCAGUUCUACAUAAAGAUCCAGGAGGCUGGCUGGAGAGGGCUGGAGGGGCCUCAGAAGUCAGACCAUGUGGGUUUCUAUCAUGAUCCUCCAUACCCUACAGCCUCUGUUUUCCCAUCUUUCAAGCAGGGAUAACAACAGCACCUACUUUGGAGGGGUUUUGUGGGGAUUCAAUAGUAUGGCUCCGCCCGGGAAAGCCCUGAUGAAGGUAGAACCUGUUAUUUGUGUUUACCAUUGUUAUUAUCAUCCAUAUCAUUAUUCUGCCCACCUGGACUUAUUCUUUGUAAGGCUUGCCUCUCCCUCUGAACAGCCUGUAUAUAAUCUAUCUUUUCUGCACCAAAAUUGGCCAAUUUAUGUGGCACCCCUCACCACCAUCACUGGAUGUGCCUCUAAUCUAAUUAGACUAAUUUCAAUUUCCUGGAUUUAAUUACUUUUAAUUUAAUUAAUUUAGAAUGCAGUAUACUAGGUGAUUAAUUAGGAGACGUUACUGAGGGAUUCGGAAGGGGAAUUGCAGUAUGUAAGUGUUUAAAUAUUAUUGUGGCCAUAGCCACCAGUUGUCACUUUACACAGGAGGCCGCUGAGGCCCUGGGAGGGGCAGAGCUUGGAGAACUGGGAUGGGACAGGGACUCAAACAGAAGUCUCCUGGCAGCAAGCACAGAGCUCUUUCCUUUCACUGCUUUUGGCAACUCCCAGGGGAGGCAAAGAAGAGGCAGCUGAUUCCAGUGACCAGCAAGUGGGAACUAAGUCAUGAAUUGUGGGAGGUGAGAACACACUUGGUCUUUUAAUAGAGUGAUAUUUUACUGGGUUUUUCAUGUACAUAGUAAAUAACCAUAGGUCUCCCUCUGAGCUAUCACACACUUCUGUUAUUUUUCUUUUUUGCUACACACAUUUACUGAGUACCUGGAAUAAUGAAUAGUCAUCGCCAUCAUCAUCAUCUUAACAAACAUGUAUGUGGUGCUACAUGCCAGACGUUGUUCUGAGUGCUUUUAUAUUGAUUAGCUCAUUUAAUUGUCAUCGGAGUUAAGUACUGUAAGUGAAGUACUGUUGCUUCCAUUGUACUAUUGCUUCCAUUGUCUAGAGGACUAUUGCUUCCAUUGUCUAGAGUACUAUUGCUUCCAUUGUCUAGAGGAGGGGUCUGAGGCACAGAGUUAGCUCUGUCAGGAAUAUCUAUUAUUUGUGUUGUACAAAGGGACAAGUCCUAGUUAAUUUCAGGCUUGUGCCAGGCAGGUGGGGGAGACAGUCUAGGGCUGGGCCCUUUAGGUCACACAGGUUUACCUACUCCACCUCUGAGAGGUAAUAAUAACACCAGCAAACACCUGCAGAGCUCUGACUGUGUGCCAGGUCUGCUUCUAAAUCAUGUUGUGUAUUGACUCUGGACACACCUGCCCACACCUGCAGAGCUCUGACUGUGUGCCAGGUCUGCUUCUAAAUCAUGUUGUGUAUUGACUCUGGACACACCUGCCCUACUCACUACUCCCUGAGGGUAGAUUGAGCUAUGGCUUUCUCCAUAUCUCUGUUUGUCAAUCAGGACUUGAGACUACAGUUCUGAUGGACCCUUGGAGGCAGAGCUGGGCCAGACCCUCUAUCCUGAGCGAAUCCUGCAGCAUGAGCUAGAUCCUUCACUCUGAAAUCAAGCUCCAAUUCCAAGGUUACUCAUUUACCAAAUGAGCCCAUUGGGCAUUUUCAGGGCUUUGACCCCUGUUCUCUUGGAAUGUUGGGCUAGGAUUCAGGUAAGAAGCCUGUGUGGUGUAGGACUUCACUCUGAUGCAUGAGCAAUGCCUGCUAGGCCGGGACCCUCUUGCAAGGAGAAGUAAAGACACAAGAGCUGGCUUCAAUAUAUUCCCUGUGUGGGGACUAGGACCACAGCGAGACUUUCCUCUUUAUAAAUGAAUUUUCUAAUAGUCUGAGCUGUCUUAGCUGCAAUGGGCUUGUCAACAGGCCAUCACUGGGGGUAUCCAAACAGAAACCGAUUGACAACAACUUGCUUACUUGGUCUUCUCUUCCUGGAAGGCUCAUCUCUAUCUUUUUUGUCAGUUAACUCCUAUUCAACUUUUAAGACUCAGUCCAGGUGUCACUUCUUCUGGAAAGGCUUCCCUGUAAACCCCAACCCAGCCCCAGACUGGGCCAGAUGUCCUUUGUGUUCCCAUAAUGUCUCAGGCAUAUCUUUAUCAUUACACCCACUAUAUAUUGCAAUGACCUGCUUAUGAGUUUGUCUCCUCUAGGUUCUGUCUAUGUCACCACCCUCUUCAAUAACCAGGUGAGGCAGACAUGAUUUCCAUUUGGAGGAUGGAGAACCGAGGCUCAGGACCUCGCCCGUGCAGCCAAGAGGAGACAAGGAUGGCUAGGUCUGGUUCCCAAGCCUAAAGACCAUGAUCUGUCCAGUGUGGAACACUGCAGGCCCCCAAGUUCUGUCAUUUGUAAAGUCAUGGGCUUGUGUGAGUCCCGAGCAAUCAAAGCAGCAGAAGCAAUGCUCCCAAGGGGUGCACGAGGGCCAUGUUUGGAGCCAUGCCAGCUUGCCAAUCCUUGGCAUACUCUGUACAUAGCCAGAUAACUACACAAGCUCACCUCAUCUGCACAAACUCACUCUCUGAACACUUCUAAGGUCACUGAGAAGUCAGGGAAAAAUGAGAACCAGGACAGUCAAAGCCUUUGCCUCUCCUGAAGCUAUGGGGCUUGUUGCCAGAGCCAAAGCCCCUCUUAGCACCCUUAUUCCUUCAUUUAACAAACAUGAGGAGAGCCCGGCCCUCUGCUUUUAAGGGUGGAUUCCAUUACUAUUAAGACUUCUGCGGCCCCUGAAAGAUUAACUCAACAGUCACCCCUGUGAAAGCUGAUCCAAGUGGAAAAUCGAGUUAGAAAAUUCCACCUUCCCUUCCCUCACACCUCAGCAGAUUAAGGGGAAGGCCUGAUGCUGAGUUAUGGGGAUUUAUGGGAAUGUGCAGUUGCUGGCUUUUAAACGCUCACUCUUUGGAAUGUUGGCAACCUUGCUUCCUAUAAAUCGUUGCUGGUAUUUCUUAGCCUUUCCUUGCCAGCAACGCGGAGGCCUGCAACACCUUUUCCGUGCAGUAGCCUGUGAAAACAUUGAAGUCGGGCCCAGAAAAACACCAGCAUUGAAAGGGGAAACUUUGAUGUUUGCUAGUUCUUUUCAGACAACUCUUGCCAAAUCUUAAUUUUUCCAGUUUACAAGUAAGGGAUUCUGACCAUCUGUCUGCUGUCAACCGAUGUUUGUUUGGAUGAAGAUUUUAUUUUUUUCUCCCAAUCUAGCACUCCUGUUCUUACAAGUAGUUUAUUGGACUUCAUAAAUGUCAGCUUUUUGCAGGCAUUUUGUAAGCAGCUUAUGAUUUAGUAUUUAAUCAAAAUUGAGCAGUCAGCGUCUGUAAUCAAUCUGAAGCAGGAGUAACAAUGAGAUUGAAGCUUAAAAUGCACCAGGACCACAAUUUAUGUCUCCCAACUAUCGUUAUAAGAACUAAGUUUGCACUUGAAGGUCUGGGGUGGGGAGAUGAUGCAGGAAAUAAACACUUACUGAGUACCUGUUGUGUGUCAUUUUAUGAUUGUGUCAGUUAUUAAUUGCCAAAAUAAUACUGUACAACAAACCAUCCCAAACUCGGUGACUUAAAAAAAUCAGUCUUUUUAGCUUGUUGGUCUGAUGAGUCAGGUGGGAGGUCCUCUUGGCCUUGGCAGAGCUCUUUAUGUGUUGGGGAUGGGUUGGCUGCUGGGUGAUCUUUGCUGGCCUCGUCUGGGACAACUAGGGCAUAUUGGCUCCAUUCUGUGUGUUUCUCACCCUCCAGCAGGCUAGCUGAGGCAUGUUCUCAUGGCCAUGGCAGAGUGCAAAAGUAAGCAAACCGAGUCUGUAAGCACUUUCCCAAAUUUCUGCUUGUGUCACAUUUGUUAACAUCUCACUGGCCAAAGCAAGUGACAUGGCCGAACUCUGAAUCACAGAGUUCACGCAGGCUGCUCUAACAAAAUUCCAUAGACUAGGUAGCUUAUAAACAAAAAAAAAUUUAUUUCUCAGAGAUUUGGAGAUUGGGAAGUCCAAGAUCAAGGUGUGCAGACAGAUUUGGUGUCUAGUGAGGACCCGCUUCCUUGUUCGUAGAUGUUGCCUUCUCACUGUGUCUUCAUGUGGCGAAAUGGGCAAGGCAGUUCUCUGGGGCCUUUUUUUAUAAGGGUAGUAAUCCCAUUCAUGGGAUUACUCAUGACCUAAUCAUCUCCCAAAGGCCCCAUCUUCUAAUACCAUCAUGUUGGUGUUUAGGUUUCAGCAUAUACGUUUUGGGAGAAGGCAAACAUUCCACCCACAGCAGGGAGAAAGACUCUCUCUCUUUAUAGCAGGAGGACUUACAAAGUCACAGGCAAAGUUCAUGGGCACAGAGAAGGGUGAAGAAUCAGGGCCCUAAAACAAUCAGUCUAUCACAGUGAUGCUGGAAAUCCCUGAAGGAGGUAAUUAUUAUAACCGCCAUCUCCAUACGGAGAAAUUCAGAGAUUAAACCAUUUGCCCAAGGGUUCUCGACAGUUAGCAAAGAAGUCAGAAUUCUUUCUUGGCCUAAAUCUUAAGCAGUUUACUUUUGUCUCUCUGAAUCUACUUUUCUCUAGACAUAGGUAAAGCAAGAGUAGUGGGAGGCUCUCAGAAAUCAUCAAUUUGCCACCCUCAUUUUAAACAUGGCCUCUAGAAGGGGAGCGAAUUGCCUAAGGUCUUACAGGGGAAUGGAAGGACACAGGAAGGCCCAGCUUUCAGGACAGCACUCUUCCUGCGCCCAGGAAGAGCCAUGCAUCUCCAAUCUUUCACAGCGCUGUCUUCUGCAGGAAGCUGCUGAGGACUUUGAACUCCCCCUCUCAGACUUGAAUACAGUAUCCACUAGGCAGGCUCUACAGGGACCUGGCUUGGUCAUGGCAGCCUUAAGAGAAUAUAGCAAAAUUACUCUAAGGGGCUCCCAGAUGGAGCAAGGAUGGCAAAGGCCUUUGCUAGGUUUACUAGAGAGGCAUAUUGAAUGUUGGCAGCCUUUUAUGACAUCAUGAUUAAAUUCCUUCCUUGGUUGGUCCUAUGAAAUGAAUUCAUAUGUUGAAGCCUGAACUCCCAAUGUGACUGUAUCUGGAGAUAAGACCUUUAGGAAUUAAUUAAAUUAAAUGAAGUCAUAAGGGUGGGGCCCUAAUCCAACAGUACUGUGCCCUUAUAACAGAGAAGAAGGCCAGGCGUGGUGGCUCAUGCCUGUAAUCCCAGCACUUUGGGAGGCCAAGGUGGGUGGAUUGCCUGAGGUCAGGAGUUCAAGACCAGCCUGGCCAACAUGGUGAAACCCUGUCUCUACUAAAAAUACAAAAAAUUAGCUGGGCGUGGUGGCACAUGCCUGUAAUCCCAGCUACUAGGGAGGCUGAAGUGGGAGAAUUGCUUGAACCUGGGAGGUGGAGGUUGCAGUGAGCCGAGAUCAUGCCAUUGCACUCCAGUCUGGGCAACAAGAGUGAAACUCUGUCUCAAAAACAAAACAAAACAAAAGCAACAAACAAACAAACAAAAAACAGAGAAGAAAGAGAUAUUUCUGCCGUGUGAGGACAUCAUAAGAAGGUAACUGUUCACAAGCCAGGAAGAGAGCCCUCACCAGAACCCAGCUGUGCUGACACCCAUCAUAAUCUCAGACUUCUGGCCUCCAGAACUGUGAAAAAAUACGUGUAUGUUGUUUUAGCCACCAUCCAGUCUAUGGUAUUUUGUUGUAGCAGCCUGAGCUGAUUAUGACAGAUGAGGAAUCAGAUUAUCAAAGGGUCAUUUAUGUAUUCACUCAGGCAUUCAACUUAUAUGUAUUAAGUAUAUACCGUGUGCAAACUCUCCAUGCUACAGUGGGGUGGGAGGCUGGGAUUUUCCCUGGAGAGUGGAGGAGUGGCUUUUCAUGUUGCCCUGAUUUGCCCCCAGUUCUCCAUCUAAGCUGCCAGCAAAGCCUUCACUAUAUAGGUUUUUCCCUCCUGGCUUAAUGAGCUACUGGCUUUGGAGGAGGCUGGGAUGGCCACCUGACUGACUGUCCCUAGGGCAGUUGGCUGGAGUGUCCGUUUUUAUGCUGCUGAUGAAGGCAUACCUGAGGCUGGGAAGAAAAGAGGUUUAAUUGGACUUACAGUUCCACAUGGCUGGUGAGGUCUCAUAAUCGUAGCAGAGGGUGAAAGGCACUUUUACAUGGUGGCAGCAAGAGAGAAUGAGGAAGAAGCAAAACGAAACCCCUGAUGAACCAAUUAUAUCUCAUAAGACUUUUCACUAUCACAAGAAUAGCAUGGGAAAGACCAGCCCCCAUGAUUCAAUUACCUCCCCCUGGGUGACUCCCACAACACAUGGGAAUUCUGGGAGAUACAAUUCAAGUUGAGAUUUGAAUGGGACACAGCCAAACCAUAUCAUUCCCCCUGGCCCUCCAAACCUCAUGUCCUCACAUUUCAAAACCAAUCAUGCCCUCCCAACAGUCCCCCAAACUCUUAACUCAUUUCAGCAUUAACCAAAAGGUCCACAAGUCCCAAGUCUCAUCUGAGAUAAGGCAAGUCCCUUCCACCUAUGAGCCUGUAAAAUCAAAAGCAAGCUAGUUACUUCCUAGAUACAAUGAGGGUACAGAUAAUGGGUAAAUACAGCUGUUCCAAAUGGGAGAAAUUGGCCAAAACAAAGGGGUUACAGGACCCAUGCAAGUCCAAAAUACAGCAGGGCAGUCAAAUUUUAAAGCUCCAAAAUGAUCUCUUUUGACUCCAGGUCUUACAUCCAGGUCACACUGACGCAAGAGGUAGGUUCUUAUGGUUUUCAGCAGCUCUGCCCUUGUGGCUUUGCAGGGUACAGCCUCCCUCCCAGCUGCUUUCAUGGGCUGGCAUUGAGUGUCUGUGGUUUUUCCAGGUGUACAGUGCAAGCUGUUGGUGGAUUCUGGGAUCUGGAGGACAGUGGCCCUCUUCUUACAGCUCCAAUAGGCAGUGCCCCAGUAGGGACUCCGUGUCAGGGCUCUGACCCCACAUUUCCCUUCUGUACUGCCCUAGCAGAGGUUCUCCAUGACGGCCCCAUCCCUGCAGCAAACUUUUGCCUGGACAUCCAGGAGUUUCCAUACAUCUUCUGAAAUCUAGGUGGAGGUUCCCAAACCUCAAUUCUUGACUUCUGUGCACCUGCAAGCUCAACACCAUGUGGAAGCUGCCAAGGCUUGGAUCUUCCACCCUCCAAAGCCACAGCCUGAGCUGUAUGUUGGACCCUUUCAGUCAUGGCUGGAGUAGCUGGGACACAGGGCACCAAGUCCUUAGGCUGCACACAGCAUGGUGACCCUGGGCCCAGUUCACAAAACCACUUUUUCCUCCUGGGCCUCUGGGCCUGUGAUGGCAGGGGUUGCCGUGAAAGUCUGUGAUAUGGCCUGGAGACAUUUUCCCCAUGGUCUUGGAAAUCAUCAUUAGGAUCCUUGCUACUUAUGCAAAUUUCUGCAGCUGGCUUGAAUUUCUCCCCAGAAAAUGGGUUUUUCUUUUCUACUGCAUCAUCAGGCUGCAAAUUUUCUGAACUUUUUGCUCUGUUUCUCUUUUAAAAUGGAAUGCUUUUAACAGCACCUAAGUCACAUUUUGAAUGCUUUGCUACUUAGAAAUUUCUACCACCAGAUACCCUAAACCAUCUCUCUCAAGUUCAAAGUUCCACAAAUCUCUAGGGCAGGGGCAAAAUGUUUCCAGUCUCUUUGCUAAAACAUAACAAGAGUAACCUUUGCUCCAGUUCCCAACAAGCUCCUCAUCUCCAUCUGAGGCAGCUCCCAAAAGGUUCCUCAUCUCCAUCUGAGGCAGCUCCCAAAAGGUUCCUCAUCUCCAUCUGAGGCCACCUCAGCCUGGACCUUAUUGUCCAUAUCACUAUCAGGUUUUUGGUCAGUCAUUCAACAAGUCUCUAGAAAGUUCCAAACUUUCUCACACGUUUUACUAUCUUCUUCUGAGGCCUCCAAAUUGUUCCAACCUCUGCCCGAUACCCAGUUCCAAAGUUGCUUUCACAUUUUCAGGUAUCUUUUCAGCAACACCCCACUCCUGGUACCAAUUUACUGUAUUAGUCCGGUUUUAUGCUGCUGAUAAAGACAUACCUGAGGCUGGGAAGAAAAAGAGGUUUAAUUGGAUUUACAGUUCCACAUGGCUGGGGAGGUCUCAUAAUCAUGGUGGAGGGCGAAAGGCACUUCUUACAUGGCAGCAGCAAGAGAGAAUGAGGAAGAAGCAAACGCAGAAACCCCUGAUAAACCCAUCAGAUCUCAUGAGACUUAGUCACUAUCAUGAGAAUAGCAUGAGAAAGACCAGCCUCCAUGAUUCAAUUACCUCCGCUGGGUCCCUCCCACAACACGGGAAUUCUGGGAGACGCAAUUCAAGACAGAAUUUGAAUGGGGACACAGCCAAACCAUAUCAGGGCCUUUGGCAGAGAUUGGUGUGCCUGCUGUUGCUCUCCUGUGGAGCUCCUCAAUAGGUCAUGUGGGCAGUGAGUUUUUUUUGGUACAUCAAAUAUGAUGUUUCCUAAAGACUUCAGAAUCAUGGAUUCCAAUGCCUGGUCAAGUGAUCCUAAUACCAUAGCUUGAUUUUUGUCUUAUUUUUCUAUUCCCAGCUGAGUGUCAUGGAAAAUGCCCCAGGAGCUGGAAGGAAAUUGCUAACCAAGAGCAGAAAACACUGACUGGCUAGACCAGCAGGGAGGGGCAGUGUCUGAAAUGGAUACAGGGAGGAAAAAGAUGGUUCAGCUUCUUUUUUUUUUCUAGCUCAAAGGAUCAGCCUCACUUUAUAAAGUUUGGUAAAAAUUUUCAUGAGUGAAGCUCAUAUGAUAAACAAAGGUAUUCCUAAUAAUUGAACUUGCCAGUGCCCCCUGUGUCCACACCCUGUGGCUGUUAGGGCACCUCUGUAAGACUCAGUUUCCUUCUCUGUAAAAUGGUGGGACACGGGUUAUAAUGUGGUUGCUAUAAAUGCCUACAGUCACACCCAAGAGGGUGUCUUGCUCAUGGAUAUUAAAUUAACAUUCUUUCAUUGGCCCUUCCCUACUAGACUCCCUCCCUACCCCUGUCUAUCUGAAUCUUCCUAGCACUUUCUUAUCCCUUCAAUAAUUCAACAUUAAUGGUUUAUUAAACAGAGGCUUCCUAAUGGGCUGUUAUUGACCUGAUGCAGAGCAAAUCUUCCACUGUGGGGUUGCCCAGGCCCUUGACAGGAGAGUAACUGAUGGGAGAGGCUGACUGUGAUGGUGUUCUCGGGCCAAGAAGGAAUGGCCCAAGAGCAAAUCCUAAUACUGUCACCUUCAUGCCUUGGAAAACCUCUUAACCUCCUGAAACCUCAAUUUCUGCAAAAUGGGAUUCAUAUCACCUUUGCCGUGAGGUUUCUAUGAAAUUGAAUCAAUGUAGGUGAACCUCCUAGCUCCUCACACCUCCCCACUCUGCGCCUAGGGCUCAGGCCAGCCCCAGCUCUGGGGAAUGUGUUCAGUUAUCCACCUGGUCUAUCUGCGGGACUACAACACCCAUGUAUCUCCCUUGCUUGAAGUCUCACCAUAACAGAUUUGUUCCUUUGAGUCCACCUCCAGAAGUCUCUGUGGUAAAGAGAAGUGCCUUUGUCCACCACAAGCCCCUGGUGGCUGACGACUAAGAGGCAGGGCAGUGAGAUGGAGGGAGCCCUG